AUACGUAGGGGGCGAGCGUUGUCCGGAAUGAUUGGGCGUAAAGGGCGCGUAGGCGGCGCGGUAAGUCUGGAGUGAAAGUCCUGCUUUCAAGGUGGGAAUUGCUUUGGAUACUGCCGCGCUUGAGUGCAGGAGAGGUUAUCGGAAUUCCCGGUGUAGCGGUGAAAUGCGUAGAGAUCGGGAGGAACACCAGUGGCGAAGGCGGGUAACUGGACUGCAACUGACGCUGAGGCGCGAAAGUGUGGGGAGCAAACAGGAUUAGAUACCCUGGUAGUCCACACUGUAAACGAUGAAUGCUAGGUGUAAGAGGUAUCGACCCCUUUUGUGCCGGAGUCAACACAAUAAGCAUUCGGCCUGGGGAGUACGGCCGCAAGGUGGAAACUCAAAUGAAUUGACGGGG
rnacentral:rRNA from 1 species